GAAUUAGCCUUUGCUGCAUGAAAUGAAUCCAUCCUAACUUAAAUGAUUAUUCAAAUAAGCACUUUUGGGAUUUUUUGCAGAAGUGCAAUCGGAUGUCCUGGGCUGUUUCAUACUCCACCCUACAUCUCUUAUGGCCAGAGGGGUCUGUUUUUAUUAAUCUGGCCUGUAAUUCCAUGUUUUGUGUUCAAUGAAAUCCAUAUACCUAAUUCUUUGACUUUUCAUAGGAUGGAAAAACACUGAAUGAUGAAUUAGAAAUUAUCGAAGGCAUGAAGUUUGAUCGAGGCUAUAUUUCUCCAUACUUUAUUAAUACAUCAAAAGGUCAGAAAUGUGAAUUCCAGGAUGCCUAUGUUCUGUUGAGUGAAAAGAAAAUCUCUAGUGUCCAGUCCAUUGUACCUGCUCUUGAAAUUGCCAAUGCUCACCGUAAGCCUUUGGUCAUAAUCGCUGAAGAUGUUGAUGGAGAAGCUCUAAGUACACUCGUCUUGAAUAGGUAA
rnacentral:sRNA from 1 species